rnacentral:rRNA from 1 species
UACGUAGGGUGCAAGCGUUGUCCGGAAUUAUUGGGCGUAAAGAGCUCGUAGGCGGUCUGUCGCGUCUGCUGUGAAAACUCAGGGCUUAACCCUGAGCUUGCAGUGGGUACGGGCAGACUAGAGUGCGGUAGGGGAGACUGGAAUUCCUGGUGUAGCGGUGAAAUGCGCAGAUAUCAGGAGGAACACCAGUGGCGAAGGCGGGUCUCUGGGCCGUAACUGACGCCGAGGAGCGAAAGCAUGGGGAGCGAACAGG